CAGAAGGCCAGGUCAGCUGCAGGAGCACCUAACCUUUGCAGACUCUUCACAGGCAACAGGCAUGGAAUAGGAGAAUGCAGAUGAACCAGUCAUAGUAAAGAUACUAUCUAUAAACCUCCCAGAAUAUGCAUCUUGGAGGGACAUGCGGCUCCAUCUCCUAUGAUAGGAUCUGGAAGUUGCCACAUCAAGCUUUUCUCCACUCCUAGGCAAUCUAUGCACUGUGUUCUUCUCUGAAUUCUACAUAGCUAAGAACAGGAAGUAAGGGAGCCAGUGGACGAGUUAAUGCGGAAGCAGUAAACUAAAGCAGAAUGAGGAGUCCGCUGCUCGUGGGCGCCAAGAAGGCG
rnacentral:lncRNA from 10 species